ACGCUCGACACCUACGGGGGCAGCAGUGGGGAAUAUUGCACAAUGGGGGAAACCCUGAUGCAGCGACGCCGCGUGAGCGAAGAAGUAUUUCGGUAUGUAAAGCUCUAUCAGCAGGGAAGAAGAAAGACGGUACCUGACUAAGAAGCCCCGGCUAACUACGUGCCAGCAGCCGCGGUAAUCUGAGCGGGCUGGCAAGGC
rnacentral:rRNA from 1 species